CAUUAUAAUUAAAAUGCCAAAGAUGACUGAUCCCCUCUGAUCUCGGAAGCUAAGCAGGGUCAGGUCUGGUGAGUACUCGGAUGGGAGACCACUUAGGAAGACCAGGUGCUGUAGGCG
rnacentral:rRNA from 1 species